rnacentral:rRNA from 1 species
GACGUAGGGCGCGAGCGUUGUCCGGAUUUAUUGGGCGUAAAGAGCUCGUAGGCGGUCUGUCGCGUCGGAUGUGAAAACCCAGGGCUCAACCCUGGGCCUGCAUUCGAUACGGGCAGACUAGAGUUCGGUAGGGGGAGACUGGAAUUCCUGGUGUAGCGGUGAAAUGCGCAGAUAUCAGGAGGAACACCGAUGGCGAAGGCAGGUCUCUGGGCAUUAACUGACGCUGAGGAGCGAAAGCAUGGGGAGCGAACAGG